rnacentral:miRNA from 1 species
UCUGUAUUGUAAGUAUGUCCCAUGCAAUAUUUUGGGACAUACUUAUGCUAAAA